AAUGGAGGCCAUGCCACCCUGAACGUGCCCGAUCUCAUCUGAUCUCAGAAGCUAAGCAAGGUCGGGCCUGGUUAGUACUUGGAUGGGAGACCACCUAGGAGUACCAGGUGCUGUAGGCA
rnacentral:rRNA from 1 species